rnacentral:rRNA from 1 species
UUAAAGUCUCCUGAAGGAACGUUGAAGACGACGACGUUGAUAGGCCGGGUGUGUAAGCGCAGCGAUGCGUUGAGCUAACCGGUACUAAUGAACCGUGAGGCUUAACCUUACAACGCCGAAG